rnacentral:lncRNA from 1 species
AUGGAUGAUGCCUCUUUGGGUUUUACUCCUGAUUUUCUGGGCUUUUCCCACAAUGCCAGAGCAGCCUUCUCACCCUGGAAAUUUGAUUUGCCUCUGUGGUUCCUUAUUAUAUUUGAUGGUACCUUUAUUUUAAGGAAAGUAUCCAGGCCAACCAUGCCUUCAUCCUUCUAUGAUCUUCAUUCUUUAUUAUUCUCUGGACUUUCUCCCACCAUGUUCUCCAUGCCUCAGCAUAGUUCCUGGAACAUGAUAAAUGUUUAAUAAAUGCUUUUCUGAGGAGAGGAGUGAGACAAGUAUUUCCAGAGACUCUGAAAAACCAUCCUUGAGGCCAACUGGGUUCUAAGCUGGAUGCUAUUCUUGGUUUGUCACAUAUCUCAGGACUGACCCCUUCUACCGACCACAGGGAGUCUCAAGUAUCUUCCUCUCACCCUCCCUAGAACACCAUUGGAUGGCAUGAAAACAAACCAGCACUGGCUGCCAGAGAAGUUAGCUCUUUCCCUUCCCUCCUCAACCCUCAUUACCUCCAUGCCCAAGCAAGGGAUGCUCAGUGUAAGCUGGAUACUGAUCUUCAUAUUCCUCCCUAUCUCUGUGAGAAUAAGACUAAAGCCUCACUCCACUCUGACCCUUGAACCUAUAAUUGGCGGAAGACCCUUAGUCCCCAACAUCCCUGGGUCUUGCCAUCUCUGAACAUGCCUUGUUUUCAUCAGUUAGAAAGAAUUUCUCUUUUGAAAGCAGGAGCUAUCUUGAUUUUCAAGUUAUUUGUCUAGUAUUUAGCUUCUUAUAUAUUAAGUGCUUAAUUUUUUUUUUUUUUAGAGAUAGUUAGGUGGAUAGAGUACUGGGUCUGGAGUCUUCCUGAGUUCAAAUCUGACCUCAGACACUUACUGGUUGGGUGACCCUGGGCAAAUUACUUAAUCCUAUUUGCCUCAGUUUCCUCACCUGAAAA